AGCUAAGCAAUGCUACUGGAGACCAUAGGCAAAGCCAAGGUACAGGUAACGAAGCGCAGACUCCGGGCCUGGGUGGGCGGCAUCACCACCAGGUUCACGCCGAGAAGGAGCUGGAGGAGAGCCGCCCGGCUCCAGCCGGACCGCUUGCCCGCCAUCACCGUUGUAAUCUAUGCAGCAAACAAGCUGGAACCCGCUGGGUGGCACCUGCAAGCAGCCGCCCGGACGCACCCACUCUGCGGUGGAGCUGUGGAAGCCAGGCGCACAGGAUGCAAGCAGCCAGGCCCAGGGAGGCAGCAGCUGCAUCCUCAGAGAGGAAGCCAGGAUGCCCCACUCUGCCGGGGGUACUGCAGGGGUGGGGCUGGAGGCUGCAGAGCCCACAGCCCUGCUCACCAGGGCAGAGCCCCCUUCAGAACCCACAGAGAUCCGUCCACAAAAGCGGAAAAAGGGGCCAGCCCCCAAAAUGCUGGGGAACGAGCUAUGCAGCGUGUGUGGGGACAAGGCCUCGGGCUUCCACUAUAAUGUUCUGAGCUGCGAGGGCUGCAAGGGAUUCUUCCGCCGCAGCGUCAUCAAGGGAGCGCACUACAUCUGCCACAGUGGCGGCCACUGCCCCAUGGACACCUACAUGCGUCGCAAGUGCCAGGAGUGUCGGCUUCGCAAAUGCCGUCAGGCUGGCAUGCGGGAGGAGUGUGUCCUGUCAGAAGAACAGAUCCGCCUGAAGAAACUGAAGCGGCAAGAGGAGGAACAGGCUCAUGCCACAUCCUUGCCCCCCAGGGCUUCCUCACCCCCCCAAAUCCUGCCCCAGCUCAGCCCGGAGCAACUGGGCAUGAUCGAGAAGCUGGUCGCUGCCCAGCAACAGUGUAACCGGCGCUCCUUUUCUGACCGGCUUCGAGUCACGCCUUGGCCCAUGGCACCAGAUCCCCAUAGCCGGGAGGCCCGUCAGCAGCGCUUUGCCCACUUCACUGAGCUGGCCAUCGUGUCUGUGCAGGAGAUAGUUGACUUUGCUAAACAGCUACCCGGCUUCCUGCAGCUCAGCCGGGAGGACCAGAUUGCCCUGCUGAAGACCUCUGCGAUCGAGGUGAUGCUUCUGGAGACAUCUCGGAGGUACAACCCUGGGAGUGAGAGUAUCACCUUCCUCAAGGAUUUCAGUUAUAACCGGGAAGACUUUGCCAAAGCAGGGCUGCAAGUGGAAUUCAUCAACCCCAUCUUCGAGUUCUCCAGGGCCAUGAAUGAGCUGCAACUCAAUGAUGCCGAGUUUGCCUUGCUCAUUGCUAUCAGCAUCUUCUCUGCAGACCGGCCCAACGUGCAGGACCAGCUCCAGGUAGAGAGGCUGCAGCACACAUAUGUGGAAGCCCUGCAUGCCUACGUCUCCAUCCACCAUCCCCAUGACCGACUGAUGUUCCCACGGAUGCUAAUGAAACUGGUGAGCCUCCGGACCCUGAGCAGCGUCCACUCAGAGCAAGUGUUUGCACUGCGUCUGCAGGACAAAAAGCUCCCACCGCUGCUCUCUGAGAUCUGGGAUGUGCACGAAUGACUGUUCUGUCCCCAUAUUUUCUGUUUUCUUGGCCGGAUGGCUGAGGCCUGGUGGCUGCCUCCUAGAAGUGGAACAGACUGAGAAGGGCAAACAUUCCUGGGAGCUGGGCAAGGAGAUCCUCCCGUGGCAUUAAAAGAGAGUC
rnacentral:sRNA from 1 species